CUCCCCCGUGCGUGCCACCAUCAAGCCGCACCAAGUGAGCAACCUUGGGGGCCAACCUCAAGGGCCUGCCUAGGCAUCCCCAAUGGGGUCCUAGGUACCCAUACGAGUUACGCAACUCUAUGGGCGGCGCUCGGCCACAGGCCAGCGUUGGG